rnacentral:rRNA from 1 species
UACAGAGGGUGCAAGCGUUAAUCGGAAUUACUGGGCGUAAAGCGUGCGUAGACGGUUACUUAAGUCAGGUGUGAAAGCCCAGGGCUCAACCUUGGAAUUGCAUUUGAGACUGAAUAGCUAGGGUGCGGAAGAGGGAAGCGGAAUUUCCGGUGUAGCGGUGAAAUGCGUAGAUAUCGGAAGGAACACCAGUGGCGAAAGCGGCUUCCUGGUCCAGCACCGACGUUCAGGCACGAAAGCGUGGGGAGCAAACAGG